GCCAUGUUCUCAGCCAGAGCCCUGCAGGGACACACAGAAAGGGAGAUCAGUUAAUGGGCGUGACCGGUUGAGGACCCAUGUCCAGGACCAAGCCUUACCUGUAAGUCACAACCCAGCUCAGGCUGGGGUUCCUGUACCUUAAGACCCUUGGAGUUAGCAUCUUACCAGGCGGUGCACAUCACCUGCUUAGGAAAAGCUGCAGAAACCUCUAUGGGUGUGAUUUGCAGAAUUGUGCUUUGUUAAUACGGACUUGGAGAAUGCUGGGAUGAUGGACAUCAUGAACGUAGGGUUGGAAACCUGUGUGGUAGCAUUCUGCUCUCACAUGGGACUGCUUGGUGCUUCUGCUGAGGGAUGCUCACAAGGCCCCCGCUGGUGAAGCAUUCUCACGUUUUACAGAAGCUACCAGAAGCCUCAACUCAACUUGGUGGUCCAUUUUCGGCCUUGGCUUUCCUCUGAGUGUUAUCGUGACUUCUGUGUCACCGAUGAAGAGUACCGAGCAUGCAAAGACAAUCACACAGAUGAGGGAGGUGCCAAAAUCUGCACCGGCAGCUUGGUUUCCCCUGGUCUGUGUUAGCCACAGGCGCCUGCCUCAGGCAGCAAAGGAAGGAAGCCAUAAUGGGAAGACGCUCAAACAGCACCAUGAAGUGGGCCAUGCGGCAAGGGACUGAGGCUUCCGGUCACUGCCAUACCUGACAGCCGCACAAGCGAGCCAACUUGAGAGCGGCCUUUCCAGUCCUCCCUCAGACCUUCUACCAUGGCAGCCCCAGUGUCAUUUUGACUAUGCACAGCCUCAUGGGAGAUAGAACCAGAGCCACUCCUGAAGCCAUGACCCACAAAAGAUGAAAAACAGUAAGCGUCCACACACCAUAGCCUCUCCGUUUCAGAGUUGUUUGCUACAUAGACAACUGAUCGAGGAGCCCUGUUUGCAUUACAGACAUUCUAUGUCUGGGACUUUUAUUCUGAUGUUUUCUGGUAGAAGAUGAUUGUAUGUGUCAGCGUCAAGAAGUCCACGGAAGAGUGAAUUUACAGAGGAACUGAUAUCUUGUUCUAAAUCCCACAAAGCCAUCCUAGGAGUAAUUGGGCCCUGAGCCUCAGAAGCAUGCAGUCUUUCCUCUAAGUGAAAGCCAAGGUCGGUAGGAUGCUGGAGAACGAGCAGCUAGAGAGAGCCAUAGUUCCCUGUCCACUAAAGACCUGCACUAUUAAAUUUAGUAGUGCUUGGAAAUGCUUCUCAGGUUCUUUGCCAUUUCAGGACACAGCCAGUCUUGCAAAUGUUUCAUGCAUACUUGAAAAAACUUAUACUGUCUAGGUUUAGGCACUAAUUAUUAUUUAAAAUUUUCCCCCUUUUUUGUUUUGUUUUGUGGCUCUGUUAAGAACUGAACCAGGGCCUGGGACAUGCUGGGAAAGGGCUCUAUCACUGAGUUACAUUUCUGGCCCUACAAAAUGUUCUGCAUUCAUAUUAAUAUUGUAUAUAAUAGGUAAAUAUGUGAUAAAAUGCAUAGGAAUAUCCCGCACAAUAAUUGGAGAUUUAUCACUUUCUCAUACAGUGUUAUUAAAUUCUGCCUUAUCUGUUCAAAGACUAUUUUUUGGUAAUAUAAAUUCAUCAGUUCUCAGGGAGAAUAGCCUCCUCCGCCCUCUUAGAGGAGCCAGAGCCUGUGACCAGGUAAUACUGCUGUGUCUCACAGUGUGGUGAGCUGGUCCAAGCCCCCAACCUACCACGUUUUCUCAUGAUGCCUCCUUUGGGAUCUGG